UACGGAGGGGGCUAGCGUUGUUCGGAAUUACUGGGCGUAAAGCGCGCGUAGGCGGACCUGCAAGUCGGGGGUGAAAGCCUGUGGCUCAACCACAGAAUUGCCUUCGAUACUGUUUGGCUUGAGUAUGGUAGAGGUUGGUGGAACUGCGAGUGUAGAGGUGAAAUUCGUAGAUAUUCGCAAGAACACCAGUGGCGAAGGCGGCUAACUGGACCAUUACUGACGCUGAGGCGCGAAAGCGUGGGGAGCAAACAGG
rnacentral:rRNA from 1 species